UCGUCAGGUAGGAUAAUCCUUACCUGUUCCUCCUUUUGGAGGGCAGAAUAGAACAUGAUGAUUGGAAAAAAAAAAAAAAAAAAAGAAAACAAAGUCCACAGCUGCU
rnacentral:snoRNA from 1 species